rnacentral:rRNA from 1 species
UACGGGGGGGGCAAGCGUUGUUCGGAAUUACUGGGCGUAAAGGGUUCGUAGGUGGCUUGCUAAGUCAGACGUGAAAUCCCUCAGCUUAACUGGGAACUGCGUCUGAGACUGGUGAGCUUGAGUGCAGGAGAGGAACGCGGAAUUCCAGGUGUAGCGGUGAAAUGCGUAGAUAUCUGGAGGAACACCGGUGGCGAAGGCGGCGAUUCUG